rnacentral:tRNA from 2 species
AAAUACUCUAGUAGCUUAAUCUAUAA